rnacentral:lncRNA from 1 species
GUUUUGCACUGCAGCCAUCACCCCUGGAUUCUGGAUGCAGAAGGAACAUUGUGGACAAGGGAUGGGGAGGAAGUAGAAAUAUGGUUCCAGUCUGGGGCUGAGUUUCAUCUUCCAAUCCAGGUUUUAUUGGUUUUUAAAACUUAAUUUUUGAAUAUUCAUUUGACUCCUGUGCUUGUUUCUCAAUUGCUUCAGAGGAAAAGGAUGGCUUUGUCAAACUUGUAUUUGUCCCUGGGGUAAAGGGCUUCAAUGCUGAGCAUCGAGCAUAAGGAGUUGGAGAAAGAGAUGUGGGUGAUUUACCUCUGCCAUAUAUCGGAUUGGCAAAAAUAAAUGAAUUUCAUCUGAAGAGAAUUAACACAAGCAUACACAUAUACACAGGAGUGCACAUAAAAAUUAAUCUUCAAGAGGAUAGAAACAGGGGAUGGUGUAGUUCCUGCCAUGAAGUACAGAUCAACUGGUACCAGAGAUUCAAAAUUGUGGAAUGGAUCAUGGGGAUUUCUCUCUUCCCUGUCAUAAAGAGUAAUUCAAUCAGGAAAACUGACAUGCAUUGUUGUAUUGUGGGUGCAACAGCUGAGAAGAUGAAAAAGACAUAGAGAAAGGGGAUAUUGGAAAUAAAAGGAUGUUAAAAUGAUAUAAUUUUUAAGAAGGUUGAGAAGGAAUAUGGGAUAUUUAUAUUCCUCUAAAUUUGAUAGAUAAUGAUGUCCACAAAGAAGAGUUUGCUGAAAUAAUUUUAAAUUUUGGUGAGCACAGACUAUCAAUGCCAAACGCAAUGGGUAAUUUUCUGUGUCAGCUUGGCUAGGCUGUGAUCUCCAAGUGUUUGUUCAAACAGCAAUCGUAGAUGUCCUUGUGAAGGUAUUUUUAGGUAAGAUUAACAUUUAAAUCAGUAGUCUUUGAGUAAAGCAGAUGACCUGCAAUAAUGUGAGUGGGUCUCAAAUUUGUUUUAAGUUGAAGGCCUUAAGAGAGAAAGAUUAAGGUCAUCCAUGAAAGAGGGAAUUCUGCUACCAGAUUGCAUUUGGACUCAAGCUGCAAUAUCAGCUCUUCCCUGGGUCUCCAACCUGACAGCCUGUCCUAUAGAUAAGAGCUUGCCAGUCCCCACAAUCACAUGACACAUGAGCCAGUCCUUUUUUUUUUAGCCAAUUCUUUAAAAUUCUUCUCCUCUCUCUCUCUCUCUCUCCCCCGCCUCUCCCUCUCUCUCUCCCUUCUUUCUCUGUGUAUACACAUGCACGCGUGCACGCGCGCACACACACACACACACACACACACUCAUCCUAUUAGUUCCGUUUCUCUGGAGAACCCAGACUAAUGUACUUCCUCAGUAAUUGUUUUAGCAUUCUGGAUUCUGUUACUUUACUAUCAGCCUUAAAAUUGCAAAAAGAAGAAGGAAAGUUUUAUCAACCAUUUCAGACACUAAGUUUUCAGCCUUUUGGGAUCAAGGAAAAUACAAUCCAUAUGUUUUGGACUCACUUGCUAUUAUCCAGAACAUUAUAUCGGAGAUGGUUUAAAAUUUCUGGCUGGUUCAAUAUACGCAAAUCAAUAAAUGUAAUCCAGCAUAUAAACAGAACCAAAGACAAAAACCACAUGAUUAUCUCAAUAGAUGCAGAAAAAGC